rnacentral:lncRNA from 1 species
ACUUUUACCCUCUUAUUAUAAAACGCGGUAUCAAAUAAGUAUCGGCUUUUGUACUACCUUUAAUCCACCUUUAAGUACGACCUUGAAAAAACGUUAUUACAAAACGCAGUUUAUCGCAAGUCCUAUUACUAUCUGUAGUACAAAAGAUAAACCAUCGAGCCCCCUAGUUUAACUGCAGUACUUAGUCGACAAACGUCAAAUUCCGACAUUAUUUACUUUUGAGGUUACUUGUUUUGUGAUGAAAAAAACGAAAGUGGAUAUAAAUAUGUGUGAUUUGGAAUACUUGGAUGUGUUAGAAUACUAUUGAGUGUCCGGGGACCCAACAGAAUGCGUCAUCGACAAAAUCUCUUCAAAUUACCUGACGACAAUUUUCGAUAUAAAUAUCGAUUUACGUUUUUCGAAAUAAUAGUCAAUUGAAUGCAUGAUGAUAAUCCAGGAUGAUCCUAUGAUGCUCAACUGGGCUCGCCAUAAAAUUCAAGACUAUUUUGGCGUUUUGCACGCCGUAUCUCUGCCAGUAAUAUGCAAUGUUUUUAAAAGACUGGAAGCUUGCUAAAAUGUACAAAAAUGCCUAGAUGAGAAAGGGAACAAGAUUGUGUGAUGAAGAACAGUGUCCAACAUGUAUCAGUGCAUUUGACUGUAUAAAUAGACAUCGGAAUAAAAUAUAAUUUUCUACUUUUA